GAUGAACGCUGGCGGCGUGCCUAAUACAUGCAAGUCGAGCGAACGGACGAGAAGCUUGCUUCUCUGCUGUUAGCGGCGGAUGGGUGAGUAACACGUGGAUAACUUACCUAUAAGACUGGGAUAACUUCGGGAAACCGGAGAUCAUAUCGGAUAAUAUUUUGAACCGCAUGAUUCAAAAGAGAAAGACGGUCUUGAUGUCACUUAUAGAUGGAUCCGCGCUGGAUUAGCUAGUUGGUAAGGUAACGGCUUACCAAGGCAACGAUGCAUAGCCGACCUGAGAGGGUGAUCGGCCACACUGGAACUGAGACACGGUCCAGACUCCUACGGGAGGCAGCAGUAGGGAAUCUUCCGCAAUGGGCGAAAGCCUGACGGAGCAACGCCGCGUGAGUGAUGAAGGUCUUCGGAUCGUAAAGCUCUGUUAUUAGGGAAGAACAUAUGUGUAAGUAACUGUGCACAUCUUGACGGUACCUAAUCAGAAAGCCACGGCUAACUACGUG
rnacentral:rRNA from 1 species